CAGCAAUAAUUUGCAAGAUCAUUUUCUUAUCAGUGAUUACAGAAUCUUUCAUGACGCUUUUAGAUGGAGUUGUGUCAACUGCAGUAAUUAGCUCCAAAUGCAUACUGGAUCAGGCUUCAAAGGGAAGAGCUGUGAAGUGGCAUUUUAUGUGGCUCAAGCAGAGAAGCCAGGAGAGGGGGCCUAUCUCCACGGAGCUCAAGAAACACAGAAGCAAGGCAUAGAAGCAGA
rnacentral:lncRNA from 1 species